rnacentral:rRNA from 1 species
ACUCCUACGGGAGGCAGCAGUGGGGAAUAUUGCACAAUGGGGGAAACCCUGAUGCAGCCAUGCCGCGUGUGUGAAGAAGGCCUUCGGUUGUAAAGACACUUUCUAGUAGGGAGGAAGGUAGUGUAGUUAACACCUGCAUUAUUUGUACGUUACCUACAGAAGAAGCACCGGCUAACUCCGUGCCAGCAGCCGCGGUAAUACGGAGGGUGCGAGCGUUAAUCGGAAUUACUGGGCGUAAAGCGCAUGCAGGCGGCCUGUUAAGUCAGAUGUGAAAGCCCGGGGUCUUAACCUCGGAAUUGCAUUUGAAACUGGCAGGCUAGAGUCUUGUAGGAGGGGUUAGAAUUUCAGGUGUAGCGGUAGAAAUGCGUAGAGAUCU